rnacentral:rRNA from 1 species
UACGUAGGUCCCGAGCGUUGUCCGGAUUUAUUGGGCGUAAAGCGAGCGCAGGUGGUUUAAUAAGUCUGAUGUAAAAGGCAGUGGCUCAACCAUUGUGUGCAUUGGAAACUGUUAGACUUGAGUGCAGUAGAGGAGAGUGGAAUUCCAUGUGUAGCGGUGAAAUGCGUAGAUAUCGGGAGGAACACCGAUGGCGAAAGCGGCUCUCUGGACUGUAACUGACACUGAGGCUCGAAAGCGUGGGUAGCAAACAGG